rnacentral:rRNA from 1 species
AGCAGCCGCGGUAAUUCCAGCUCCAAUAGCGUAUAUUAAAGUUGUUGCAGUUAAAAAGCUCGUAGUUGAAUUUCGGGAUCAAUAUGUCGGUCGUGCUUUUUGGUACGUACUGGCGUCAUUGGUUUCUCCUUUCUGACGAACCAUGAUGUCAUUAAUUUGGUGUUAUGGGGAGUUAGGACUGUUACUUUGAAAAAAUUAGAGUGUUUAUAGCAGGCUCACGCUUGAAUACAUUAGCAUGGAAUAAUGAAAUAGGACGUUUGACCCUAUUUUGCUGGUUUCUAGGAUCGACGUAAUGAUUAAUAGGGAUAGUUGGGGGCAUUAGUAUUCAAUUGUCAGAGGUGAAAUUCUUGGAUUUAUUGAAGACUAACUACUGCGAAAGCAUUUGCCAAGGAUGUUUUCAUUAAUCAAGAACGAAAGUUAGGGGAUCGAAGACGAUCAGAUACCGUCGUAGUCUUAACCAUAAACUAUGCCGACUAGGGAUCGGAUGAUGUUAAUUUUUUAAUGACUCAUUCGGCGCCUU